rnacentral:rRNA from 28 species
GGAUUUAGUGGCGGACGGGUGAGUAACGCGUGAGAAUCUGGCUUCAGGUCUGGGACAACCACUGGAAACGGUGGCUAAUACCGGAUGUGCCGAAAGGUGAAAGGUUAACUGCCUGAAGAUGAGCUCGCGUCUGAUUAGCUAGUUGGAAGUGUAAUGGACUCCCAAGGCGACGAUCAGUAGCUGGUCUGAGAGGACGAUCAGCCACACUGGGACUGAGACACGGCCCAGACUCCUACGGGAGGCAGCAGUGGGGAAUUUUCCGCAAUGGGCGAAAGCCUGACGGAGCAAUACCGCGUGAGGGAGGAAGGCUCUUGGGUCGUAAACCUCUUUUCUCAGGGAAGAACACAAUGACGGUACCUGAGGAAUAAGCAUCGGCUAACUCCGUGCCAGCAGCCGCGGUAAUACGGAGGAUGCAAGCGUUAUCCGGAAUGAUUGGGCGUAAAGCGUCCGCAGGUGGCAAUGUAAGUCUGCUGUUAAAGAGUCUAGCUCAACUAGAUAAGAGCAGUGGAAACUACAUAGCUAGAGUACGUUCGGGGCAGAGGGAAUUCCUGGUGUAGCGGUGAAAUGCGUAGAGAUCAGGAAGAACACCAGUGGCGAAGGCGCUCUGCUAGGCCGUAACUGACACUGAGGGACGAAAGCUAGGGGAGCGAAUGGGAUUAGAUACCCCAGUAGUCCUAGCCGUAAACGAUGGAUACUAGGCGUG